GCAUAUGCACACCCCCUUUUCCUCCGCGCCUUCCCCACCCCCGCUUCUUCCCCGCAGGUGGCCGCCGCCGCGGGAGGGGUGGUGGUGGUCAGUCCGGGAAGCCCCCCCCCCCAUCAUCCUUGCUCGCGCUAAUCUCCCGUCUCGGCCUGGAGCUGGGUUGAAUCGACUACCACCCCACCCCCAAGGUGGCACCCCCGGAUUCACACGAGGUUCCGGGGAUAAAACGGGUCGGGAGGUAGAAGAAAGGAGGAAAGGUGGAGUGGAGAAAGAGAGAACACCCUCCACCCCACCCCUCCCAUGCAUUCUGCAAGAGCGAGUAGGCUUUGCUCUCCAGGCGGCAAACAUAAAGAUGGAUCCCAAAUGAAGUCAGUCAGUAAUGUGCAUCUCAAAUGCAUGUGGAUGAAAUAGGGUUACCAGAUCUGUUCUGCAAAACUCUGGAUGUUCCCUUAGAUGGCAAGAAAGAUAAUCUCUCUACUCACAUCAAGCAAAAUUAUGGGAGUUGAAGUUGAGAAACACACGGAUUGUUAAAAAUGUUGGCAAUGGCACUGCCAAAAAACCAAGAAACUGCUGGAAGCAGAAAAUGCUGUGGGAAUUGUUAAAGAACUGCUAAUCAACGUUAAAAAUUGAGGACUACCUAUAAUUCUACAAGCAACAAGUUCCUGUCAUAAAGUUUCAAAGGCCAUAAUCUGCAUUUGGAUCUGAACUGAUCGUCCAGUCCAGAAUUUGGCGUGUUAUAAACAACUCCUGCUGGAUAUGGGAAUUAACAUACGAGAGCCUAUUGUUGUUCAUGAAGACAAUCAAGCAGCAAUUCAGAUGGCAUCCAAUCUUGCUGUAAAAACUAGGUCAAAACAUACUGAUAUAAGAUAUCUGAAUGUAUGGCAAAGUGUGAAUAGUAAAUUAGUUUCACUGGAGUACUGUAUGUCUGGAGACAACAUCGCAGUUCAGCCCAAGGUAAUAUAAAGCAUAAACAUUGUUGCGAGGAAUAUGGAUUAAGAUUGUAAGAUUUAUAUAUUG